GGUUCAAGGAUGAAAGACGGUUUCGGCUGUCACUUACAGAUGGACCCGCGGCGCAUUAGCUAGUUGGUGAGGUAACGGCUCACCAAGGCGACGAUGCGUAGCCGACCUGAGAGGGUGAUCGGCCACACUGGGACUGAGACACGGCCCAGACUCCUACGGGAGGCAGCAGUAGGGAAUCUUCCGCAAUGGACGAAAGUCUGACGGAGCAACGCCGCGUGAGUGAUGAAGGUUUUCGGAUCGUAAAGCUCUGUUGUUAGGGAAGAACAAGUGCAAGAGUAACUGCUUGCACCUUGACGGUACCUAACCAGAAAGCCACGGCUAACUACGUGCCAGCAGCCGCGGUAAUACGUAGGUGGCAAGCGUUGUCCGGAAUUAUUGGGCGUAAAGGGCUCGCAGGCGGUUUCUUAAGUCUGAUGUGAAAGCCCCCGGCUCAACCGGGGAGGGUCAUUGGAAACUGGGAAACUUGAGUGCAGAAGAGGAGAGUGGAAUUCCACGUGUAGCGGUGAAAUGCGUAGAGAUGUGGAGGAACACCAGUGGCGAAGGCGACUCUCUGGUCUGUAACUGACGCUGAGGAGCGAAAGCGUGGGGAGCGAACAGGAUUAGAUACCCUGGUAGUCCACGCCGUAAACGAUGAGUGCUAAGUGUUAGGGGGUUUCCGCCCCUUAGUGCUGCAGCUAACGCAUUAAGCACUCCGCCUGGGGAGUACGGUCGCAAGACUGAAACUCAAAGGAAUUGACGGGGGCCCGCACAAGCGGUGGAGCAUGUGGUUUAAUUCGAAGCAACGCGAAGAACCUUACCAGGUCUUGACAUCCUCUGACAACCCUAGAGAUAGGGCUUUCCCUUCGGGGACAGAGUGACAGGUGGUGCAUGGUUGUCGUCAGCUCGUGUCGUGAGAUGUUGGGUUAAGUCCCGCAACGAGCGCAACCCUUGAUCUUAGUUGCCAGCAUUCAGUUGGGCACUCUAAGGUGACUGCCGGUGACAAACCGGAGGAAGGUGGGGAUGACGUCAAAUCAUCAUGCCCCUUAUGACCUGGGCUACACACGUGCUACAAUGGACAGAACAAAGGGCUGCGAGACCGCAAGGUUUUAGCCAAUCCCACAAAAUCU
rnacentral:rRNA from 1 species